rnacentral:rRNA from 1 species
AAAUCUUACCGGGUCCGGACACACUGAGGAUUGACAGGCAAUAUUAAUACGUUUUGCUUCGGUAAUCGUAUUAUGUUAAAUAUGCUGGUCCUUUCAUGAUUAUGUGAUAGGUGGUGCAUGGCCGUUCUUAGUUCGUGGAGUGAUCUGUCUGCUUAAUUGCGUUUCACUAAGGGCCUAUAAAUUUACGUGUGUUGCAUCGCACUUUGACCCCUUUCUUUAAUUAGAGAGCGCGUGUCUUAGUUUUCGCUUUGCUCAUACAAUUAGGUCCUGAAAGCAACGAACGUGACCGCAACCUCUUGUUGCCUUUAUACCAAACAUGUUUUGCGUCAAUUUUCGAAUUGCGCGCAUUUCAUGAAAAAAGGCUUUUUAAACUAGAGGGACCGCUGUUACUUUCUUAAACCAGAGGAAGGUUGCGGCAAUAA